CCUACGGGUGGCAGCAGUGAGGAAUAUUGGUCAAUGGGCUUACGCCUGAACCAGCCAAGUCGCGUGAGGGAAGACUGCCCUAUGUGUUGUAAACCUCUUUUGUCAGGGAGCAAUUGGCGCUCCGUGUAGCGUUAUCGAUAGUACCUGAAGAAAAAGCAUCGGCUAACUCCGUGCCAGCAGCCGCGGUAAUACGGAGGAUGCGAGCGUUAUUCGGAUUUAUUUGGUUUAAAGGGUGCGUAGGCGGAAUGCCAAGUCAGCGGUGAAAUCGCGGGGCUGAACCUCGCUCCGCCGUUGAAUCUGGCGUUCGUGGGUGGGCGAGAGGGAUGCGGAAGGCGUGGGGUAGCAGUGAAAUGCAUAGAUAUCACGCAGAACUACGAUUGCGAAGGGAGAAGACCGGCGCCCAACUGACGCUGAAGCACGAAAGCGUGGGUAUCGAACAGGAUUAGAUACCCGAGUAGUC
rnacentral:rRNA from 1 species